AAUAGAUACCCGGGUAGUCCACGCCGUAAACGAUGAGUGCUAAGUGUUAGGGGGUUUCCGCCCCUUAGUGCUGCAGCUAACGCAUUAAGCACUCCGCCUGGGGAGUACGGUCGCAAGACUGAAACUCAAAGGAAUUGACGGGGGCCCGCACAAGCGGUGGAGCAUGUGGUUUAAUUCGAAGCAACGCGAAGAACCUUACCAGGUCUUGACAUCCCAUUGACCGCUAUGGAGACAUAGUUUUCCCUUCGGGGACAGUGGUGACAGGUGGUGCAUGGUUGUCGUCAGCUCGUGUCGUGAGAUGUUGGGUUAAGUCCCGCAACGAGCGCAACCCUUGAUCUUAGUUGCCAUCAUUUAGUUGGGAACUCUAAGGUGACUGCCGGUGACAAACCGGAGGAAGGUGGGGAUGACGUCAAAUCAUCAUGCCCCUUAUGACCUGGGCUACACACGUGCUACAAUGGACGGUACAAACGGUUGCCAACCCGCGAGGGGAGCUAAUCCGAUAAAACCGUUCUCAGUUCGGAUUGUAGGCUGCAACUCGCCUACA
rnacentral:rRNA from 1 species